rnacentral:lncRNA from 1 species
UUUUUUUCGUUGUUGGUUUUUCAACUACUCCGUCUAUUCUUCUACCCGGAGGCUCUUCAAUUCUAUUGUGAUGGUAGUUGUCAUUCCUUUCUUCAUUCUCUUCUUCCGCUUGAGCUAGUUCCUAUUCUAUUGUUCCGGAGGCUUUGUGUUAUUGCUCUUUUGGAUCAAUCUUGUUGUUCUACCUAGAUCAUGGUGUUCCCUUGCUCUAUUUAGUUGUUUGUUAUGAAUAUUGUCUAAUUCUCCUACCUUUUUGAAUUUUUUGUCCCAUUUUCCUACCGAAGUGUUGCCG